GGGAGACCGAGGGGGGUCAAGCGCGCAAAGCUCUGUCCGUUCCUGGAAGGCGAUUUCCCCCCCACACGCGGGGUGCCAACACCCGCCCUAGACCCAACAUCCCCUCCCUACCGAACCGCGUAAAGCAGCCCCAGCAUCUCUCCCUCCUUCCGGCCUCUCCCUCAAUUCCCUGCCGCCACUCCGACCGCGCCCCCGAACGCAGCCGGGUAGCUCCUCCUCCGGUCGUGUCUCUGCGGCCAACCCGCCCUCCCAGCCGCUGGCGCCAAGGUCUUCUCAACCCGCCAGCGGAAGGAUGCCGGGCCGGGCCUCCCAGGCUCCUCCCGGGCCUACCUGCUAGGCGGGCGGGGGCUCCGUCUGCAGCCCAGCGACGGGACUCAACCACCGACAAGAAGAAGCAGGAAGGAAGCAAGGGGUCCGCUCUACCGACCAGCGGAAGAAAGCAGCCUGAGCGCGGGGCCUCGCGGAUAAGUCAGCCUUAGACCCGGCGCCGCCGCCGCUCAGAAGACAUCAAGCAAGAAGACGGCGCAAAAGAUCACCGAAUACACGAACGGCCCAGACAUCAUAGGGAGAGCGCGCAAGCAGUCGUUCAAGGAAAUGCAGCCGAGCGCCGAAAACUGCUCUUCUCCAACCCUAGGUCUGACUCCGGUCCAAGACAUGAAUAAACAAACCCAGAUCAUAAGUGGCGGAGUAAAGUAGCCGGUGCUUCUGCCAUUUUCUGUGUUGGUUGCCAGCUAAGUUGUUUAGAACACAGGAGUUUUUCUUGAUUGUUGAGGAUCAAGUCAUAGCAAAAUAACACUUACCAGUUCAGCGACUACGUUAUGGACUCCCAACAUUAUCCCAAGUGAGCAAGUGUGACUCUUAAUUUCCUCAUGGACAGUGAGGGACAGCGACUGCUAAGUUCAGUCCAAGGAUUGUUUUAUCAUUUCCGAAUUUGAAACUGGCAAACUAGUGUUGACCCAAUACUGUGGUUUUCUCUUAAUAUAUCCUGGGACUUUGCUGUCUUGAAACAUCUAAGGGCAAAUCUGGAAAACUCCUAUGCUGACCAGAUGGCAUCAUCUACGGGAAGAUGAAGCUUACAUAAGACAGGCAUAAUCCUUGACUCUUUCCCAAAACUGUACCAGGAAAAUACUAAAAAACCGCAAUAAGGACUUCAAGAGAAGACUUCUCAGGCACUUAUGAUAAGUCCCUAUGAACAAAUCCUUGGCAAUCGAAGUAUAGACCCUGAUCCCACCCCUAGAUCAUUUUAGGGAAAUUGUAACAAAGGACUGAAAAAAAUCCUGGCCUGUAAACAUUCAGGUUGAAAGACUGAAGAAAUAGAUCCGAACAGUUACUCUGUGGAAUUAUUAGGAAAUAAAAUGCUCCCAGGAAAAAGCACUGCUAGCCAAUAUUCAGUCAGUUCAGCACUUAGAAAUUAUCUUUGGUGUGCAAGUAAUAGACUUAAAAUUGCUUUUGAAAUCUCUCCAAGACUGUCCCUCCCACUCAGGCUUCAUGUUACCAUCUAGUGAGUUAAGUGGGGAACCACCCCAAUUUUCCUCUAAUGUAGUUUUUUUAGGCUAAAAUCCCAGAUACUUUCUAAGUUCACAUUCCACUUUGCCACUUACAAUAUGUAGAUGGCAGUAACCCUUUUCUCAUGCAAUAUGCACAACAGAACAAAAACCCUGUAGGGAAAAAUACCCAUCUCAGGACACUUGGAAAGAUCGUGAGAGUUAAAAUAUUGCCUCAUGAGGAGGACAAAGACAGCUUGGUCACAGGUUAGAUUUUACAAAGGAAGAAUAUGUAACGGGACCCCUCUACUGCACAAUGAGUAGACCUAACGUUCCCAGGCACCUCUUUGUGGUCCCUUCUUGUCUCAAUGACAUCAUUGUACACAUCAAGCUCAAGCUCCUGCCACAUGGACCCACUCUUUUUAGAGUAGACCGAUGAUGGGAAAUAGCAUCUGGAGUAGAAAUAAACAGCAGAUAAUAAUCCAUAAUUGUUUUUAAUCUUGGGGAUGAGUCACCCUCAAUUUAUUUCCAAAUUUCUUCUGUCAUCAGCUGUUCAUUUUUUUACUUUGAAAAUCACCAGAUUAACACUGCCAAAGGCAGGUAGGAAACGAUCCAAGAGGACCAUUCUGAGGUAUCACAUGGUGAGUUGAUGAGAAACUGGGAGCGAGACAAUCCUCAGGAAAGUCUCUUUUUUGUCUCAGCAGAGGCACCAAUGUGUGAACCUAAUUCACACUUUCAUUAUUCCAAUCAGGUUGUUUUUUUAUGAGUAUAAUUUUAGAAUAAGACUUGGUGGGGGAUUAUUUCCUAGGAAAUUCUGUUCAUGAUUUUGCAGGAAAUCCAAAUAGGUCUAAUGCCAAAAUUUAUUUCACCCCAAGAAACUAUGUUGGUUUUAUUUCAUAUGCCUUUUCGUUUUUUACUACUUUCAUAUGCCUUUUUAUUGUCAAAGUCUUCCUUCUAUACAAGGAAUUUCAAAGCAGAAUGGCCAAACAGACAUUCUCACAUUAAGAGCAUAAGAAAUGUGAUCUAUUUAGAUGUGAGCUGUCAAAACCUGGAUAAAUCUCCUCUGUCCAUCAGCCUAUCAAGGUCUUUAGAUCUAUAAAGUGUAAACUUGCUAUUUUA